AUUGAACGCUGGCGGCAGGCCUAACACAUGCAAGUCGAGCGGAGCGGCGGACGGGUGAGUAAUGCCUAGGAAUCUGCCUGGUCGCGGGGGAUAACGUCCGGAAACGGGCGCUAAUACCGCAUACUAUCAGAUGAGACUAGGUCGGAUUAGCUAGUUGGUGGGGUAAAGGCCUACCAAGGCGACGAUCCGUAACUGGUCUGAGAGGAUGAUCAGUCACACUGGAGCGGGGACACGGUCCAGGGUCCUACGGGAGGCAGCAGUGGGGAAUAUUGGGCAAUGGGCGAAAACCUGAUCCAACCAGGCCGCGUGUGUGAAGAAGGUCUUCGGGUUGUAAAGCACUUUAAGUUGGGAGGCGUUACCAACAGAAGAAGCACCGGCUAACUUCGUGCCAGCAGCCGCGGUAAUAC
rnacentral:rRNA from 1 species